UGGGGGAUAUUGCACAAUGGGCGAAAGCCUGAUGCAGCGACGCCGCGUGGGGGAUGAAGGCUUUCGGGUUGUAAACCUCUUUCGCUAUCGAACAAGGCCCGCUUAGGGUGGGUUGAGGGUAGGUGGAGAAGAAGCGCCGGCUAACUACGUGCCAGCAGCCGCGGUAAUACGUAGGGCGCGAGCGUUGUCCGGAAUUAUUGGGCGUAAAGGGCUUGUAGGCGGCUUGUUGCGCCUGCUGUGAAAACGCGGGGCUUAACUUCGCGCGUGCAGUGGGUACGGGCAGGCUUGAGUGUGGUAGGGGUGACUGGAAUUCCAGGUGUAGCGGUGGAAUGCGCAGAUAUCGGGAGGAACACCGAUGGCGAAGGCAGGUCACUGGGCCAUUACUGACGCUGAGGAGCGAAAGCAUGGGUAGCGAACAGG
rnacentral:rRNA from 1 species